rnacentral:misc_RNA from 1 species
UACUGUUCAUUUCCUACUUUAUUUUUUCUAAUAAAAGCAUAUAAGGUUAGCCCUUUUAUUCUGGUUUUGAUAACGUGUGCAAGUAAAAAAAGGGUAUUUGCUUUGAUUUUUGCUUGAAAAUGGUGAAUUAAGUUUAAAGGCUCGAACUUUGUCGCCCUUUUUUAGGGUAUAGUUGGUUUUAAGAGCUAGGAAGUGGCUACUUUCCUUGUUAAAGUUAUUAAAUGUUUAAAAAGCUUAAGCUAGGGUUUUUGUGGAAUUUGGUUGUAUUGUUAGCCGAGUAGAAUUGAUUUGUAAGUUCACAGAGAAAGUAGAGGGGAUUAUACUUUAAUUUAAAUUCAUAAAGAGGUUACACCUUCUAAGCUAUGUUCAGGUGACGUGCAUGCUGGUGUGUGCACAAGCGCAUAUGUAUCAUUUGCACAGUUUGUUCUUCUAUCUAGUAAAUAAUUGUUUCUAAGUAGAUUAAGUUAAAUUUUGAAUACAAU